rnacentral:rRNA from 1 species
UAAAGAUUCAUCGGCUGCGGAUGGCCAUGCGGCGCAUUAGCUAGUCGGCGGGGUAACGGCCCACCGAGGCGACGAUGCGUAGGGGUUCUGAGAGGAAGGUCCCCCACACUGGUACUGAGACACGGACCAGACUCCUACGGGAGGCAGCAGUGAGGAAUAUUGGUCAAUGGCCGGGAGGCUGAACCAGCCAAGUCGCGUGAGGGAAGACGGCCCUACGGGUUGUAAACCUCUUUUGUCAGGGAGCAAGAGGCGGGUCGAGACCUGCUGUGAGAGUACCUGAAGAAAAAGCAUCGGCUAACUCCGUGCCAGCAGCCGCGGUAAUACGGAGGAUGCGAGCGUUAUCCGGAUUUAUUGGGUUUAAAGGGUGCGCAGGCGGAGGCACAAGUCAGCGGUAAAAUCGCGGGGCUCAACCCCGCUCCGCCGUUGAAACUGUGUCCCUUGAGUGCGCGAAGGGUAGGCGGAAUGCGUGGUGUAGCGGUGAAAUGCAUAGAUAUCACGCAGAACUCCGAUCGCGAAGGCAGCCUACCGGCGCGCAACUGACGCUCAUGCACGAAAGCGUGGGUAUCGAACAGGAUUAGAUACCCUGGUAGUCCACGCAGUAAACGAUGAAUGCUAUCUGUCCGG